rnacentral:rRNA from 1 species
GACAGAGGGUGCAAACGUUGUUCGGAAUUACUGGGCGUAAAGCGCGUGUAGGCGGCCCUGCAAGUCGGAUGUGAAAUCCCACGGCUCAACCGUGGAAGUGCAUUCGAAACUGCAGGGCUAGAGUCCUGGAGAGGAAGGUGGAAUGCUUGGUGUAGAGGUGAAAUUCGUAGAUAUCAAGCGGAACACCGGUGGCGAAGGCGGCCUUCUGGACAGUGACUGACGCUGAGACGCGAAAGCGUGGUGAGCAAACAGG